rnacentral:lncRNA from 1 species
UUUAUUAUUACAACAGUAAAACUGUGAGUUUGAAUACAAAUAUUAUCUUCUAGACAAUAUCUAUACUCAAAUAAAUCCUCAUCACAUUUAUUGAUACAUUAUUUUACAAAAAUGGUGAGGACUACUAAACAACUCUCUCUAGAACCUUCAUUCCAUACCCCGACUCGUACUCGCUAUAUUCUCGCCUCCUGAGAAGAAAAAUGGAACAAAAAGGAAAAUGGUGAGCUCAACUAGCCCAGUAAAGAAUAUUAUGACUAAGAUAAUAUACAACAAAUUAUCGUUAGUCUUCAACAGG